rfam:Anaerobacillus sp. NB2006 Ga0137927_1132, whole genome shotgun sequence.
UCGCAAUAGACGGGGAAGUAGCGGCGCCUUGUAACCUGCAAUCCGCUAUAGCAGGGUCGAAUUCCUAACGAAGGUCUAAUGAUGUGUGGUCAGUGCUUUUAAUUUGAUGUUGAGGAAAAAAACUUUUGCAAAGAAAAACCUACGAACGGGUCAGAUCCGGAAGGAAGCAGCCAUAAGGAGGACACUUUUCUUGUGUAAAAAGUCCAUUUUUCUGAGUUAAAGAAAAAGUAACGCAUGGAUGAUUAGCUCGUACUUAGGUUUGCGA